GACGAACCGUCCAAACGUUAUUCGGAAUCACUGGGCUUAAAGGGUGCGUAGGCGGCCCGGUAAGUUGUGCGUGAAAGCCCUCGGCUCAACCGAGGAAUAGCGCGCAAAACUACCGGGCUUGAGGGAGACAGAGGUAAGCGGAACUUAGGGUGGAGCGGUGAAAUGCGUUGAUAUCCUAAGGAACACCAGGAGCGAAGGCGGCUUACUGGGUCUCUUCUGACGCUGAGGCACGAAAGCUAGGGGAGCGAACGGG
rnacentral:rRNA from 1 species